rnacentral:rRNA from 1 species
ACGGGAGUCAGACUGCGAGUGAUAAGAUCCGUAGUCAAAAGGGAAACAGCCCAGACCACCAGCUAAGGUCCCAAAGUAAUCGUUAAGUGGAAAAGGAUGUGGCGUUGCACAGACAACCAGGAUGUUGGCUUAGAAGCAGCCAUCAUUUAAAGAGUGCGUACUAGCUCACUGGUCGAGUGACGCUGCGCCGAAAAUGUAUCGGGGCUAAACGAUUCACCGAAGCUGUGGAUUGACAUCUACGAUGUCAGUGGUAGGAGAGCGUUCUAAGUGCGUUGAAGUCAGAUCGGAAGGACUGGUGGAGCGCUUAGAAGUGAGAAUGCCGG